rnacentral:sRNA from 1 species
UAAAGCGUACAAAUAUUAGGUGUGAGU